ensembl:lncRNA
CAGCUUUUAUAACUGUAAAUUUGCUGUCCCCUCAAAAUAACACAAUACAGCCAUUAAUGUCUAAACCGCUGGCAACAAAAGUGAGCAGCCCCUCCAAAUUGGGCCAAAAGUGUCAAUAUUUUCCAGCACUGCCUUAACCCUCUUGGGCAUGGAGUUCACCAGAGCUUCACAGUUUGUCACUAGAGUCCUCUUCUACUCCUCCAUGACAUCACAGCAGCUGGUGGAUGUUAGAGACCUUGCACUCCUCCACCUUCUGUUUGAAGAUGCCCCACAGAUGCUCAAUGCUCAGUUUCAGGGUUUGAGGAUUGCCCCACAGAUGCUCAGUUUCAGGGUUUGAGGAUUGCCCCACAGAUGCUCAGUUUCAGGGUUUGAGGAUUGCCCCACAGAUGCUCAGUUUCAGGGUGUUGGCAAUCUUCUUAUGGCCAUAGGCCAUCUUUAGAACAACAAUUCUUUUUUUCAGAUCCUCAGAGAGUUCUUUGCCACGAGGUGCCAUGUUGAACUUCCAUUGACCAGUAUGAGGUAGUGUGAGAGUGAUGACACCAAAUUUCACACAUACCGUCUCCCUAUUCACACAUUGUAACAACCUUGAGACCUUGUAACAAUGAGUCACAUGACAUCGGGGAGGGAAAAUGGCAAAUUGGGCCCAAUUUGGAAAUGUUCGCUUAGGGUUGUAUUCACUCACUUGUUGCCAGCGGUUUAGAUAUUGUGUGUUGAGUUAUUUUGAGGGGACAGCAAAUUUACACUGUUAUACAAGCUGUACACUCAUUACUUUACAUUGUAGCAGUGUCAUUUCUUUCGUGUUGUCACAUGAAAAGAUAUACUCAAAUAUUUACAAAGAUGUGAGGAGUGUACUCACUUUUGUGAGAUACUGUUCCUUGCUUAAGAACUUCACAUGCAUGACGCAAUUUGUAGAGUGCAGAGUGCUUGGACAAAAUUAGAGCAGUAAAAGCUGAUGUAAUAUCAUACUUGUAGUAUACGGUCUUGUAUACCAUGGCUAUCAGCAUUCAGGAUUUGAACUCAAACACUGUCUUUGUUUUAAAACACUUAACUGUAAGUUGCUCUGGAGAAGAGUGGGUGCUAAAUGACAAUGGAAAUGUGACUUAAAUCAUGAAUGUUAUAAUACAGGAUAAGCAUGCUCCCAAAGUGCUUCUGUUCCUGUGCCCCAGUGUUGAGGAGGCAUCUUUUCUUUGUCUUGCGAAGAGAACUCAAUGAAAAUUCUCUAUGGAGUGUCCUCCCUCAAUAUGUUGUUGGCAUUCCCACUAACUCCUGCCUUGACAGAAACUAGUGUCCCUGGGGCCAAAAAUCUAAACAUUUAAAAUAACAAUAUAAAAAGGUAAUUACAUUUUGCAGACACUCUUGUCCUGUUUGCACUCUGGGAGGAGGUCACUGUGCAGUUGUAAACCAUGAUGGACAUGUUGUGGAGCGGACUGGCCAUUCUGCAAAAGAAGAGCAGCUCAGUCUUGUUAAGGUUAAGCUUGAAGUGGUUGACUGACAUCCAAGAGAUUGUGGAUCGGGCAGAAGAUAUGUGACAACAAUGUUAAGCUCAAAUCGAAAGCACACAAUGACAGCAUGGAAUUCAAAAGAGGGUGAGGGACAUAUAAUCUCCAAUUUGAAGUAACAAGUAGCCCUACGAUGCCACUGAGGCAAUCCAGAUGCUCUUGGACUAUGGGGAAUCAUUCAGAUGAAGAGAUAGCAGCCACAGUAAGCAGUAUUCUCUUGGGAAAUCCAUGCCUUUUUGACAGCAGAUCGACAGGCCCAAACACUACUAGAUAGCAGGGCUGGGAACAAAAUAUUAGAAAGAUUGCAGCCAUGGGCUUGGGGGUGACUGUAGAAAUGACUAGGAGAUUCGGCGGGCAGGGAUAGGAAAGAGACACAGCACAAAACGGACAGCAUUCCUUUUUUAUAUCCUGGGAAAACAGGUAGGUUGUAGACCUAUUUGUCUGAGUAGUUAAAUACUAAAUCGGCCUGUAUGUAUUUCAGCAGUUAGUUUUAGCAGUUUUUUUUUCUACUAGCCAGUGGAGCGCAUAACAGGAUGUGGUCCAAAACUGAAAGCGUAUGAACUCUGUGCUUCUGUUUUAAACCUGCCCAUGUUCCAUCACUCGCAUCCUGUCUCAGGCUCUGCACUUCAUAUAUGUUGAAUGGUUCAGCACGGGUUCAUCUCUCAGCAUACAGUGUUUGGACACCCAUUUAUGGGUGAAUUUGUCCAAACAUUUGACUGGUUUUGUACAUUUCACUGUAAAUGGAGGGAAUCUGCUGCAUUCACUUCAAACUGCUGUUUUUCAGAGCAGGGGAUUAUUUACAGAAUCACCAGUUCGGCAGGUUACUCUGCUCUGAUUAAUUGGCUCUCCAUCUGUGGACCUUAAACUUUUUGUCUGUUCAUUAGUGGGUUUCUUCACCGAUGUUAACCUGCCAUGGUAGAACAAAUCAUUUCUGAACAUGUCUGAAGCUUAACCACACUCAUCUACACUGUACACCAGCUGUACCCCAGCUUCACCCCAGCUUCCUCUUUCUAUUUGUGUUCAAAACUUCCCUUGCAACAUUUUAAACAUCAUGCGUGAGGUAGUGAUUUGAUGUUUCUAUAAUCAAGUAACAUCUUCUCAGUUCUCUCCACCCACAGUAUAUCCCUCUAACGUUAUAGGUUUUGCACGCCCAUCUGUCAAGUUUCUGCAUCCACAUUCUUGUUUAAAAAAAGUGCCACUGCUCACACACGCCUAUCACCUCUUCCUGCCUGGUCGGGUUUUCUCUGCCUUUUGAAACCAUCAUUUAGGCUAUUCUGUAGCAAGGCUUUGAUCCAGUCAGUAAUAAAUCUAUGUAUGGAUCAAUUCAAAUUUAAAACAAAUAUAUUUGCCCACACUGGGAUGUGACCUGGAUCCCUACUACGCCAACUUCUGAUUGAGCAGAGAUUUCUUCAACAUUCUUUCUGAGAACUAAGAGUCAUGUCAAAAGUCAUAGACGAGACAUCCAAUAGUGUCGUCUGGACCCUUGUCAUAAUCCUGGUGAUCCUCGUUGUCCUCCUGGUCUACCUGUACAAGCGACUGAACCGCCAGACUAAUGACCAAUACACCAUCCACAACCUGGUCUAUGGGGAAGGUGGCGCCAGGGACAGGUUGAGGAACUGGAUCCGAGUCCUGGAGGUUCGGUUCGGCCGACGACUCUGGCUUCUCAACGAGAGUGAGGGGGCUGCCGGAGAGGACGAGAAAGACGAAGAGGAGGAUGUGGAACGGGCGAGCGUGGGAGGGGACAGCCAGGGAGGUGAUCAGGAGGGCAGAGGGGAUGAUUCCUCGGAUGACUACUCUAGCUUGGAGGGCUGUGACCUUAGGGAGAGAGUGAAGCUCGCAGAGGGGAAGGAGGAGAGGGGAGGGAGUGUGGGGAGCAAGCCGGAGACGAGUCGAGACGGCGGAGAGUGUGAGGAGGGAGCAGUGGGAGGACAAGAAAGUGGACGAGGAGGUUUGCUGGUAGAUCUGCACCCAUUCUCUGGUAGCGCCAUCUGGUCGGGCGAUAAGGGCGUGGGAGAUGGAAACAUGGAGGAUGUGACUGCAUUGUGAGGGACUGAAAAAAGAGGGGGGGGGGUACAGGUAUUAGCCAGAAUAAAGGAAACACCAACAUUGUCUUAAUAUGUUGUUGGGCAGCUUCAGUGUGAAGGGUGUCUGGAACUGUUGGAGGGAUACAGCACAAUUUUUCCAUGAGAAAAUUUGGAAUAAUUGUUAUUUGGUGUUUUUGUUGCUAGCGGGGGGGGGGGGGGGCUCCAGUGUCUCUCAUACAAUUUAGGAUGUAGGAAUUAUUUUUGGUAUCCGCUCAUGUGUUCGAUCUGUUGAGUUCUGGUGAUGGAGCUGGCCAUGGCAAAUGCUUUACAUUCGAUUUCCUGCUCAUCAAGUCUAUCACCUCUCGUGACCUUUGAAUGUGAGCAGUGUAAUCUGGAAAAAAAACACUUCCAUAAAGAGGAUGGAAAUGCUUCGCCAUCAGCAUGUCACCAUGUGACCCUAAGCUUGAUAGGGUGUUAACUGCUUAAUUAAACUCAGAGAUCCAGUUGCGUUUGUAAGCCCCUGUGUUAGAUGUUUUGUUGCUCCAAAAAAGAAUGCAAAUGAGGGCGCGCCCUACUGUAACAAUGUUAGAUGAGAGUGUCUGCAAAAUUACUUCAAUGUGAAAAUGUGUCCUGUGUUUUGUCAAGAGUUACCUUGAUGCCGGCGGUUGCCCGCAGCUCCAUUGUAUGCACAGUGGCAGUGCAUGACAGAACAUGCACUUUUGGUCAUCAUGCCCUUUACAAUUUGUCAUACUAAAAGACAUUACAAUAAUUCUGACCUUGAUGUUGUUUAAAAUAAUUGUGAGCAAAACAUUUUAAAUGGCUUUGCACUGUGCAUUUCAGCUGUGCAUUUUAUCUGCUUACACUAAUAUACUCUACACCUGUGUAUGUGUAUAGAUUCCUUCACAGACAGUUAUAAAGAUUUAAGAUCUGAGCAUGAGUGAAAACGACUGUAAAAUUAUUCCUUAGUCUGCUUUAAAUAUGCUUAUGUCAGACUAAGUGAGAGGAACAUGGGAUUUCCAUGCAGUUAUGUUAAAGUUGAACAUAUUAAUUCAAAUUGCUUGAUUAUUAUACUAUUGUACAACAAUCAAUGAUGUAUCCCAGACCACUCUGUAUUGUCCAAUGACUACAUAAGUAAUAUGUUAAGGAAUCCUCAUAGAAACUCACACACAUUCCUAGAAUAUAUUAUACAACAUAAACAAAUCGAAGGCAAGUCAAUAAAACACAAACUCAACACAGUAGACAAACGCAGAGGUUAUAAAAAGGUUAUUCUGCUCUGUCUGUAAACUCAUAUAAGUAACAAAGGAAAUUAUUUUAUUAGAUUAUAAUACGUUAAAAUAAUAUAUUGAGCAGAGUUGUUUUGAAAUGAUUGUUUUUGCAAACAUGUUUGUGAUGAUUUAUGAACAGCUAUUCAGGUAAUGCUUUACUUUGUUCUAUAAUGUUUCACCGGUAAAUCACUGUCAGAUAACAGGCUAAAACGUUUUAUCGUCUCCCAUUGCUGUAUUCAUUUACACGAUAGACCUACUGUACUAUAGUACACUCAUACCUUUAAGAAACUGAAAGAUAAACGUAUUUGCAUGUACAUGCUUAAUUUUUUAAAUAAACAUUUAAAAUCCAAAAAAUAUAUUUUGUAAACAUAUUGCUUUUUCUGUGGCCUG